AGGUAAUUCUAUUUAGAAUAUUUGGAUGAUUCAAUAAAAUCAAGCAAAACUUACUGCAGAAAUUAAUGGGUUAAACGUUGAAUUUGGGAUUGGUCAAAUAUCCUCUGCCGAAGGAGGGAGCAUAUUUUACUUUGCUGCCAAAAUUACUUAAAGAUGACCUCAAGUUUUAUAAUUACAUGCGCAUUAAAAAAAUACCUAGCAACUGGUAAUUCAUAUGUCACCUUGUCAUAUUCUCAUAAACUUGGGGUGUCAACUAUAAAACUAAUAAUAGGAGAAACCACAAAAGCUAUAUGGGAUAUUAUUCAACCCAUCCAUAUGAAGGUCCCAACAUUGGAGAUGUUUGAGGAAGUUGCUAAGGGCUUUGAUGAAAGGUGGAACUUCCCAAACUGUAUAGGUGCCAUUGAUGGGAAACAUUGUAAAACAAAAAAGCCUCUACACUGGAACCCAAUUUUUUGAAGCAAAUAGGCAUUGUUUUAACGUUGAGGCUGACAUCCUAUUCCUCUUCUUAGUAAUGGUUACGCCGGCUCGAGAAAAAAUACGUUCGCUUGCUACGGACGUAGUUUGUUCGCAUAAGUAAUCCUUGGCCAUUGUCGACAGCUUUGGAAAACGAUUAGCGUUUCGAGACCACCAAUCUAUAAUAUCAACAGAGGUUUGAGCAACGGGAUCUGUUAAAUAUUCUUCGAUUUCUUCUCCGUCUAAAUUAGCAUAAUAAUACUGACAGACAUUAGAUUGGAUUCAUUAUUAUCCUCCUCUUCGAAAUCAUAUAUUGAUUUCGAUGUACCAUAAUCAUCA